rnacentral:tRNA from 1 species
GGAAGGGUGGCAGAGUGGUCUAAUGCGACAGUCUUGAAAACUGUUGUCCUUUAACGAGGACCGCGGGUUCGAAUCCCGCCCCUUCCGCCA